CCAGACUCCUACGGGAGGCAGCAGUGGGGAAUAUUGCACAAUGGGGGGAACCCUGAUGCAGCGACGCCGCGUGGGUGAAGGAGUAUUUCGGUAUGUAAAGCCCUAUCAGCAGGGAAGAACAAUGACGGUACCUGACUAAGAAGCACCGGCUAAAUACGUGCCAGCAGCCGCGGUAAUACGUAUGGUGCAAGCGUUAUCCGGAUUUACUGGGUGUAAAGGGGGCGCAGACGGCGAUGCAAGCCAGGAGUGAAAGCCCGGGGCCCAACCCCGGGACUGCUCUUGGAACUGCGUGGCUGGAGUGCAGGAGGGGCAGGCGGAAUUCCUGGUGUAGCGGUGAAAUGCGUAGAUAUCAGGAGGAACACCGGUGGCGAAGGCGGCCUGCUGGACUGCAACUGACGUUGAGGCCCGAAAGCGUGGGGAGCAAACAGGAUUAGAUACCCGCGUAGCA
rnacentral:rRNA from 1 species